rnacentral:rRNA from 1 species
GUUGAAACACCGGUUCCCGUACGAUCACCGAAGUUAAGCAACGUCGGCCCUGUUCAGUUCCUAGAUGGGUGACCUUUUGGGAAUAU